AAGCAGCUCCAGAUAAGGCAGUUGUAGGGAGGGUUUCUCUGGGGAAGUGCUGUGUGAGUUAAGAUCUUAACAGGGAAACAAGUGUAUUGUGUGAUAGGAGGAGAGAUUUGCAUGGGAGGGGGUAAGACAUCAAGUGCAAAGGGCCUGAGGUGGGAAGUAGCAACCUUUAGAACCACUGAGAGCCAUCACCGACAGAAGCACCUUACCAUUUCCUGCCCUGGCCAAAGACCAGCUUGCCCUUCCCCCGCUUUGCCUACUCAAGCAUAGAGGGAAGGCACUCAACAGACAGUAAACUCAAUAGAAGGAAAAUUCGCGUUCUGGGAAAACGGGAUAUUAAGCCUUCGAAGAGAGCUUCCAUGCAGUCAAACAUCAGUGCAGUUUGAGUGCUUUCCCUUGAAAGAAAAUCCCCUCGGAUGACCCAGGAGCGCCUAUAGAACGGAGCUUUCAUAAACCAGAGAAAUCCAUUUCUUGCAGUAGACUCUGCAGUCAAUUUAUAGUCUUUCCUGCUCUUCACCAAAUUUCUCUUCCUGGUAAUAUUUUUGGCGUUUUAAUUUUAGAUAUGGGUGAGGGAGUGGGAGAGAACUUUGUUUUAAAACUUAAGUCUGACAUAUGUAUCACUAGAAUCAUACUUGAUCUCAACCUAUUUGUUCCUUUGACACAGAGGUAGAAGAGAUGGCUUUAAAAAGAAAAGGUCGGGCAAGGUAUGGACCUCCCCUCCAAUCCCAGCAACCAUGUUCCUCAGAGGGAAUAACCCUCUGCUUCUGUAAGCAUGGGGUACAGGCAGGGGGUGCCCAGAAGAGGGGCAGCUGCGGGAAUCUGCUAGACCUAAGUUUGUGUCUCAGCUCUGCCCCUAACAAACUGUGGCAUCAUGGCCAAGUUCAUUAACUUCUAUGAGAUUAUAGAGACCUCAAGGUUCAAGUUAAAAAAUCUGCCACAUUUUAUAUCACUGGUAAAUGACAGAUCUGGGUUUGACACCCACGUUAGUUUGACUCCAAAGACCAGAUGGCAGGGCACACUGCUUCUCCAUAGGAUUAUCACCAUUACUAACCCCCAGAGGAACACGCUCAUGGAUUGUGCCUGUAGGAAUCAUGACUGUAAAGUACCAGGAUCAGUUGUAAACUAAUAUGUCAGAAUGGAGAUGCAUAAGUGUGCAUGCAUGCAUGUGUAAGUGUAUACGUGAAUACCCAUGCGCACACACACACACACACACACACAUAUAGACAGAGAGAGAGAGGAGAGAGAACACAUCUCCAAAUGUACAUGACAUGCUUCGAACUGGCCGCACGGGGAAGGCUGAUAAGCUUGUUACAACUCUAUUGCUAUUAUUGCUAGGUUAUGAGCCACAGGAGAAUCUCAGCCUUGUGUCUCCAAUCCCACCAGUUUUGACCUCAAAUUUUAUUAUCCAGCUUCAUCACCCCCUUGAGCUUGUUUUGAAAAUCAAAUCUUUCCCCUCUGGGCAAGAUACACCACAACUGAACUUUGCAAACGUACAUGCUAUGUGCUUUGCAGGUAGUCUCCCAAGAUUUCCAAGAAUGACUGAAUGACACCAAUGACACCCUCAGGAUGGCCCCCAAAGGGCUCUGGUCCCAAGUCCUGACUCCAAGUGGCCUCUGGCCUUGGGAACCUUGUACUGCCUCUCUGUUCUGCUUCCUGUCUUGUAAAAUGGUGAGAUUGGACAAGAUGAUGAUGUGUAAAGUCCCUUUCGGUUUUGAGUCUAUCGGGCAUUUUCUGAAGUGGGCAACACUUUUUGGUUGUCGUAGCUCUAGUGUGCUUACCAGAAAACUUAACCGCCCUGCUUUGUCAUCAUGCCUAACCUGUACGAGCAGCCACGAGUGCCUGAGGGCCUCAUUCGGCAAUGAACACAGCAGCUCUUCCAGCCUAUGCAGUCUUCAUAUUAACCCACCGCCUCAGUUCUUCCCUUCAACCUACAGGCCAUGGGUGUGAAAGAAAGAUAUUGGAGUGCACCACCUCCUUACAACCAACAUGUUCAGGGGCCUUUACCUCUUUCCGGAACCUGGGCUCCCUUCUCAUGACUCCUGCCGCAUGACACCAGCACCGUAUCAUUCCCUAAAUUCUCUCACUACGAAGGAUGUCCCUUGGUAAAGCUUUUCACCACCUUCUCCUCUACCACUUCCCUAGUGGGUUAAGCUGAAAAAUCACUUUUUUUCUCAUUGCUUGUAGGGAACUGUUGAAGAAACUCAGGCCACAGGGGAAGCCUGUUCCAGACUUAUCCUCUUGCCCCCAAGCAAGUGGGGGAGGGGGUCUCAGGGUUCGACCCCCAACAAACAGAACCCCUUGACUUCCAAUGGCCUAGGGGUUAGAGUUCAGAGUGUGGAAGCUGGCUGCCCCCUCUUUCUCACUGUGCGGCCAAAGGAAGGGUGCUUUCUUUCCCAGUCUCAGUUUCUCCAGCUGUAAAAUGGGAGAAGCAGCAGUGCCCACUCUGUGGAGUUAUCCAGAGGAGCAAAUGGCCAGUGGCCUGGAUGGAGUAAGUCCUCAAUAUGUGUCAGUGGUGGAAAUGCCCCAUUAGCAGGAUCAGUACAGGGUAUGGUGAAAAUAAGUUGGAGGGCAUGACUUAAAGAUGUUACGCCCAUCAAAUCAAUAUUCAUUCUACAUAUACUACAGAGUUGAUCAUCCUGCUGGCAGGGGCCCCUCCCACAUAUUGAAGGAAGGAAUGUAACAAGAUCAGAGGAAAUGGGGAGGUCAGAUUUGGGCUUCUUUGAUUACUUUGUUAUC